UACAGAGGUGGCAAGCGUUGUUCGGAAUUACUGGGCGUAAAGGGCGCGUAGGCGGUCUUGUAAGUCUCGUGUGAAAUCCCUCGGCUUAACUGGGGAACUGCACGGGAUACUGCAUGACUUGAGAUCGGGAGAGGGAAGCGGAAUUCCGGGUGUAGCGGUGAAAUGCGUAGAUAUCCGGAGGAACACCGGUGGCGAAGGCGGCUUCCUGGACCGACACUGACGCUGAGGCGCGAAAGCUAGGGGAGCAAACGGG
rnacentral:rRNA from 1 species